rnacentral:rRNA from 1 species
AUUGAACGCUGGCGGCAGGCCUAACACAUGCAAGUCGAGCGGAUGAAGGGAGCUUGCUCCUGGAUUCAGCGGCGGACGGGUGAGUAAUGCCUAGGAAUCUGCCUGGUAGUGGGGGAUAACGUCCGGAAACGGGCGCUAAUACCGCAUACGUCCUGAGGGAGAAAGUGGGGGAUCUUCGGACCUCACGCUAUCAGAUGAGCCUAGGUCGGAUUAGCUAGUUGGUGGGGUAAAGGCCUACCAAGGCGACGGUCCGUAACUGGUCUGAGAGGAUGAUCAGUCACACUGGAACUGAGACACGGUCCAGACUCCUACGGGAGGCAGCAGUGGGGAAUAUUGGACAAUGGGCGAAAGCCUGAUCCAGCCAAGCCGCGUGUGUGAAGAAGGUCUUCGGAUUGUAAAGCACUUUAAGCUGGGAGGAAGGGCAGUAAGUUAAUACCUUGCUGUUUUGACGUUACCAACAGAAUAAGCACCGGCUAACUUCGUG